rnacentral:lncRNA from 1 species
UAUAUUUUGAUCAUUAUCAAUAAUAUCACUAAACUCCUUUCAGUGGAUCGGAACAAUUACAACUCAGCCCAAUGAGAAUUAUCGAUCAUCUAGAUAAUUCUCAUGAAUCUGACAAUCCACCAGUGACGCCUAGCAGCAUGUAGUGGCAUUCCAGUAGAAUAGAAUACUGAACUUUUUGGUGCAGUUACCAUGUGAUACAGUCCUUCUAUCAUGAGUCCCGACUAGAUAGAGGUUAUGGAAUAACUCGUCAAACCCCAUCGUCUAUCAUAUGUUAAAUUUAUUCAACUUGAGUUUCUAAUAUCAGAAACUAUUUCUGCUAUUAACUCUGCCCUGGCCAAGAUCUUUUAAACUCGGUCUCAUAAAUCACAUAGGACUAACACCCCUAUCUACCAAGGGAGAUAGAU